GAUAAACGCUGGCGGCGUGCCUAAUACAUGCAAGUCGAGCGAACGGACGAGAAGCUUGCUUCUCUGAUGUUAGCGGCGGACGGGUGAGUAACACGUGGAUAACCUACCUAUAAGACUGGGAUAACUUCGGGAAACCGGAGCUAAUACCGGAUAAUAUUUUGAACCGCAUGGUUCAAAAGUGAAAGACGGUCUUGCUGUCACUUAUAGAUGGAUCCGCGCUGCAUUAGCUAGUUGGUAAGGUAACGGCUUACCAAGGCAACGAUGCAUAGCCGACCUGAGAGGGUGAUCGGCCACACUGGAACUGAGACACGGUCCAGACUCCUACGGGAGGCAGCAGUAGGGAAUCUUCCGCAAUGGGCGAAAGCCUGACGGAGCAACGCCGCGUGAGUGAUGAAGGUCUUCGGAUCGUAAAACUCUGUUAUUAGGGAAGAACAUAUGUGUAAGUAACUGUGCACAUCUUGACGGUACCUAAUCAGAAAGCCACGGCUAACUACGUGCCAGCAGCCGCGGUAAUACGUAGGUGGCAAGCGUUAUCCGGAAUUAUUGGGCGUAAAGCGCGCGUAGGCGGUUUUUUAAGUCUGAUGUGAAAGCCCACGGCUCAACCGUGGAGGGUCAUUGGAAACUGGAAAACUUGAGUGCAGAAGAGGAAAGUGGAAUUCCAUGUGUAGCGGUGAAAUGCGCAGAGAUAUGGAGGAACACCAGUGGCGAAGGCGACUUUCUGGUCUGUAACUGACGCUGAUGUGCGAAAGCGUGGGGAUCAAACAGGAUUAGAUACCCUGGUAGUCCACGCCGUAAACGAUGAGUGCUAAGUGUUAGGGGUUUCCGCCCCUUAGUGCUGCAGCUAACGCAUUAAGCACUCCGCCUGGGGAGUACGACCGCAAGGUUGAAACUCAAAGGAAUUGACGGGGACCCGCACAAGCGGUGGAGCAUGUGGUUUAAUUCGAAGCAACGCGAAGAACCUUACCAAAUCUUGACAUCCUUUGACAACUCUAGAGAUAGAGCCUUCCCCUUCGGGGGACAAAGUGACAGGUGGUGCAUGGUUGUCGUCAGCUCGUGUCGUGAGAUGUUGGGUUAAGUCCCGCAACGAGCGCAACCCUUAAGCUUAGUUGCCAUCAUUAAGUUGGGCACUCUAAGUUGACUGCCGGUGACAAACCGGAGGAAGGUGGGGAUGACGUCAAAUCAUCAUGCCCCUUAUGAUUUGGGCUACACACGUGCUACAAUGGACAAUACAAAGGGCAGCGAAACCGCGAGGUCAAGCAAAUCCCAUAAAGUUGUUCUCAGUUCGGAUUGUAGUCUGCAACUCGACUACAUGAAGCUGGAAUCGCUAGUAAUCGUAGAUCAGCAUGCUACGGUGAAUACGUUCCCGGGUCU
rnacentral:rRNA from 1 species